rnacentral:piRNA from 1 species
GCCGCGCGGCGGAAUGGGGACGGCGGC